GCUUACGGCCAUACCACCCUGAAACACGCCCGAUCUCGUCCGAUCUCGGAAGCUAAGCAGGGUCGGCCUGGUUUAGUACUUGGAUGGGAGACCGCCUGGGAAUACCAGGUGCUGUAAGCU
rnacentral:rRNA from 1 species